GCACCCCUCCCCCCCACCCCAUUUCUCUCUCACCGUUUCUUCUUUCUCUCCUCUCCUUCGUAGGUCCAUGAGGGGGUCCGUCGCUGCCCGGGAGCAGCGGCGGAUUCUCUACAAGAAUCCCCACAACGCACUCGAAGAACUCAAAAGAACCAAGAUCUUCGACACUUCGUUUUCCUUUGUCACUAAUAAAUCCUUAAACGCAUGUCGUUGACGGUGUGGUCCUUGAUAGUGAAACUGCUAUAAAUUAGUGUAUAUAUUAUAUAAAACACAUGCAAGAUACUGUAUGUAUAAUAGUAACAAUUUCAAGAAUAUUUUUUAAAACUGCUUGCCCGCUGAUGAAAUUGCAGUCCACACAUCUCUAAUGUAUGAUGAUGAUAAUAAUACAGAAUGAACGACAAUGAAGAUAUCUCUUUUCCAAACAGUGAUCAUUAAAAGGGAGACAGGGGUUGCAGCCUUGUCCCCAGUGGACCCAGAGGGACAAAGGGACCCUGCUGAUCCCUCUCUUUAUCCUGAGGCUGUGGAUGGGGCCUUCACCACAGAGGAGGAUGGGACUGUUAUUUUAACUUUAACACGUUGUGGUCGUAGAAAAAGACCCAAGCCAGUCAACCCAGCAGACUGUGAAUUCCAUUCCACCAUGGAUAACUUCCCAUUUUCCAGAAUCGUGUCACGAAGGACUCGAAAUGUAAGUUGUUUUUGUUUUUAAUUGAAUAUUGUACAUUUUUGUCUAGCAGUACAGGGAGGAGCAAGACGUAUUAUAAAUACAGUAUAUGUUACAGUAAAUAUGGGAAAACAUUGAACUGGGUACAUCUGUGGAGUCCAUGCUUACAGUGCAACAACCACUGUGCUGAAGAAUAGAGAAUGGCAGAAUAUUUUGUACUAAAAUAUCAAGAUAUAGAGCUGAAUCAAGACCCAUAUAAAUUGGAACUUAACCUGAAAAAAGUUACUCUUUAAUGUUUAAUUCAAUUGAUUCAUGUUCACAUUCCUGAACCAGACUGGAAAUACACUGAAUUAAUGUCAGCUGUUAUGAUUGUUAUAAUACCUGUAAUAAUUGCUUAUGAUUGUUUUGUCUGAUGCAUUUUCGCUAUUGGCUGUUUUUCAGGGAAUACGGGAGGUCAAAGUGAAGUGGGUGCCAUGCCCUCAAUGGUAUGUAUGCAGCUUCAUCAUACACAUCAUUUUGUACUUACCUG
rnacentral:lncRNA from 1 species